rnacentral:rRNA from 1 species
GUGGGGAAUAUUGCACAAUGGGCGCAAGCCUGAUGCAGCAACGCCGCGUGAGGGACGACGGCCUUCGGGUUGUAAACCUCUUUUAGCAGGGAAGAAGCGAAAGUGACGGUACCUGCAGAAAAAGCACCGGCUAACUACGUGCCAGCAGCCGCGGUAAUACGUAGGGUGCAAGCGUUGUCCGGAAUUAUUGGGCGUAAAGAGCUCGUAGGCGGUUUGUCGCGUCUGCUGUGAAAACCUGAGGCUCAACCUCGGGCCUGCAGUGGGUACGGGCAGACUAGAGUGCGGUAGGGGAGAUUGGAAGUCCUGGUGUAGCGGUGGAAUGCGCAGAUAUCAGGAGGAACACCGAUGGCGAAGGCAGAUCUCUGGGCCGUAACUGACGCUGAGGAGCGAAAGCGUGGGGAGCGAACAGGAUUAGAUACCCUGGUAGUCC